UCUGAUGGAGAACUUUCUCCCCUUUUCUUUCCGUUAUUCUCUUUCUCAGUCUUACUUCUUCCUGGAAGUAUUGCAUAAUUACUCCAGCCAGAGAUUCUGUUUUCCUCUGAGCUACAGAAGCACUGACACUUGGUACCACUCACUCAUCAUGGACAGACUGCCAGCAGUCUGGGACAUCCUCUGAAAGUAUAAAGGUUGACCUGAACAGAGAAGAGAGAAGAAGGGAGAAGGAGGGACAGACAGCAAAGGAUGGAGAGAAUGAGAAGCAAGUGAGUAAGAAUAGAGAUGGAGAAGAGGAAACUGAAUAAGUUCCUGUGCAUAGGAGGUACAGGGAUCCAGAAUUGGGCCCCUCUGUGCCUUUGAGGAUUUAGAAAAGACAGAGAACAAAAGACUUGCUUUCUGGAACCCAUAUAAGCCUUGAUAUUUUAUGUUCUGCAACACUGUUGGGCUUUCUGGUCUCCUGCAUUCUUGGCUACCAUAAACUGAGUGCUCUCCAUGUUCCAGGUCAAGUCCAGGAUGGGUGUUCCUGAUUGAUAGGAAGCUCUCCUCCAGCUGGAGCCUGCAUGGAGGAGGUGACAUCUAAGUUGGAUUGUGAAGGGUGAGGAUUUUUUCAUGCAGAGGAGAGGAGCACAAACCUUUCAGUACUGAAGGAUUCAGGACCAUGGCCAGCACCGAAGCAGCCUACAAAUUCUGAAAUAAGCUUAGAGUCUUAGCCAAAGAGAUCAGCACUGCCUUUAACCUUCUUCCCUGCCUUUCCCAUUUGGCCAAGUCUUACUGAUCCUUCAACUCAGAUGCCACCACUUCUGGAAAACCUUCCUGGAGACCCACACAGAGGGAGCUUGGCGUGAGGGGAGAGGGCUGAGUCUGCUGCCUCUGGAUGGAGUGAGAGCUUCUCAAGGUAGAACAAAGGCAGUGAAGGGUGUAGGGAUAUUAUACAGCUGUGCUCCAUGAGCAUGUGUUAAGGCUGUGGAAUGGAUCCUGGCAGGAUGACCUCAAAUUAAGAUUUUAAUGACUCUUCCAUUUAGAAGACACACUCUUUCCAUUAAUGCUGCCUUGUCAGAGUGAACACAUUAUAGAGAAGAGAUUUUGGCACGCCUUUCCCACUAAUGCUUAGCAAAUGCAUCAAAACUUUGCCAGCAAACUGCGUUCAUUCAUAGCAGGGCACUGGCUGUGGCAUUGAGACACAAGGAAAGAAAUGACAAAGAAACACUUAACCUGUGACUUGAUCAACCAGGAUUCGAGAGGUGAUGAUACGGCCAUAUUGCGAGAAAAGCUGCUCCAGUUCCUUCUGGGUCAUGGUUUUGGGAAGGCCGCUAACGUAGAGGUUAGCAUCCCUGAUUGAGGCAGAGCUCGGACGGGCAUAUGAGACCUAGGAAAAGGCAAGAGGAGCUAAAUCCAUUACAGCAACACCCUCUGAGUAGAGACUGAGUCAACAACUGAGAUGACAGCCCCUUGUCUAUCAUUCGAACUCAUGGUGCCAUUUAAAUAUCUCAGUAGUUCAGAUUCUUAGCUACUCUUGUAAUCGUAAUACGAAUCCCGAGAACGGCAACAGAGGAACAAAAGGAGAGGUGACGAUAACUUAAAACAAAUGCACAGAUAAGGGUCUCUAAGUGCAGAACGAAAUAGCUACUGUAUGGCAGCUGUUAAAUGCAGAACGACCCACGCAUGGAGCUCUGAAGAUUUACCUCCUGGAUGUGGGUGUAUAGAUGAUUUACUGUAUCUAACACAUAAUAAUCUUUGAACAAACCAAAAAAAAAAAAAACCUCCAUGAAAUUCUGCUCUGCAGAUUUCUCUC